rnacentral:rRNA from 1 species
UAGGGAAUCUUCGGCAAUGGGGGCAACCCUGACCGAGCAACGCCGCGUGAGUGAAGAAGGUUUUCGGAUCGUAAAGCUCUGUUGUAAGAGAAGAACGUGUGUGAGAGUGGAAAGUUCACACAGUGACGGUAACUUACCAGAAAGGGACGGCUAACUACGUGCCAGCAGCCGCGGUAAUACGUAGGUCCCGAGCGUUGUCCGGAUUUAUUGGGCGUAAAGCGAGCGCAGGCGGUUUAAUAAGUCUGAAGUUAAAGGCAGUGGCUUAACCAUUGUUCGCUUUGGAAACUGUUAAACUUGAGUGCAGAAGGGGAGAGUGGAAUUCCAUGUGUAGCGGUGAAAUGCGUAGAUAUAUGGAGGAACACCGGUGGCGAAAGCGGCGCUCUGGUCUGAAACUGACGCUGAGGCUCGAAAGCGUGGGGAGCAAACAGG